UAACGCGUGGGUAACCUGCCUCAUACAGGGGGAUAACAGUUAGAAAUGACUGCUAAUACCGCAUAAGCGCACAGUGCUGCAUGGCACAGUGUGAAAAACUCCGGUGGUAUGAGAUGGACUCGCGUCUGAUUAGCUAGUUGGUGGGGUAACGGCCUACCAAGGCGACGAUCAGUAGCCGGCCUGAGAGGGUGACCGGCCACAUUGGGACUGAGACACGGCCCAA
rnacentral:rRNA from 1 species